rnacentral:rRNA from 1 species
UACGUAGGGGGCAAGCGUUGUCCGGAAUCAUUGGGCGUAAAGAGCGUGUAGGCGGCCCGGUAAGUCCGCUGUGAAAGUCGGGGGCUCAACCCUCGAAUGCCGGUGGAUACUGUCGGGCUAGAGUGCGGAAGAGGCGAGUGGAAUUCCUGGUGUAGCGGUGAAAUGCGCAGAUAUCAGGAGGAACACCAAUUGCAAAGGCAGCUCGCUGGGACGUAACUGACGCUGAGACGCGAAAGCGUGGGGAGCAAACAGG